GACGAACGCUGGCGGCGUGCUUAACACAUGCAAGUCGAACGAAAAGGCCCUGCUUGCAGGGUACUCGAGUGGCGAACGGGUGAGUAACACGUGGGUGAUCUGCCCUGCACUUCGGGAUAAGCCUGGGAAACUGGGUCUAAUACCGGAUAGGAGCCAUUUUUAGUGUGAUGGUUGGAAAGUUUUUUCGGUGUUGGAUGAGCUUGCGGCCUAUCAGCUUGUUGGGGGGGUAAUGGCCUACUAAGGCGGCGGCGGGUAGCCGGCCUGAGAGGGUGGACGGCCACACUGAGACUGAGGUACGGCCCAGACUCCUACGGGAGGCAGCAGUGGGGAAUAUUGCACAAUGGGCGCCAGCCUGAUGCAGCGACGCCGCGUGGGGGAUGACGGCCUUCGGGUUGUAAACUCCUUUCGCUAGGGACGAAGCUUUUUGUGACGGUACCUAGAGAAGAAGCACCGGCUAACUACGUG
rnacentral:rRNA from 1 species